rnacentral:lncRNA from 1 species
AAUGGCUGAAGAACUGUGUCACAAGGAGGAGAAUCUCUUCUGAUGCCCCCAGAAGAGGCUUAUUUCCCAGGAGUUUUCCCAUGAGUUCGUUUCCAAGGCCAAACAUCCUUUCUCCACAGAUCUUUUUGAUCACCAUGGAGACAAUCUGCUGCUCUGUCCAAUGGAGAGUUUGAGCGGCAGUCACCAUGACAACCUGCGGGGGUAGAAGGACAGCUCAAAGCACCCCUCAGAUGAGAGCCAGGACAGGGACCGGAAGACACUGUGGUUCUCACAAGUGCAGCAGAUGAAGGGGGACUCCCUUCCUCUGUCUGAGCAAGAAACAGCUUGUGCCUUCACUGUAGUCUUCAUCCAGGAGGACCAGGAAGGAACAGAGCAGCACUGACAUCUGCCAGUCCCUGGGGUCAAGUGGCUUAAAAAAGGCACAGAUGUGACCUAAAUCCUGAUCACUGUGCUGGGGGCUCUCCUUGUGAAGACCGCAUCUUAGGGGACAGCCAGCCAUCUCGUUCCCUGAGGAUGUGCUGCCGUGGAUGCUGCUGAAGAAGAGCUGGAAGGACUGACAGGCUCCGGUGGCCACCCUACAACCAGAAGACAGACACCUGACAAUGUAUUGUCAGAUGAUGGAUUAGCCAAGCCUGGGGAAGAGAGCUGAGUGUACAGCUUCCCUCCCAGUCUCCUGGGUGACAAAACCGCUGGAUGACCCCGCCAACAAUAAUGAGAUGAAAAUGAAGAACACUGCAGUAUAAUGAGCAUGAUAAAAUAGAGAUGUUGCUAAAUAAUGGGUCGGCCAUGGCUGAGGAGCAGGAGAAAGAGCCAAGCCCAAAGGAGGUGGAUAAGGCCUUCCUGUGUGGUCUCCAAGCCUGACCCCCUGAUGUGUUGCUGUUGCUCAACCAGGCCAUAGAUGGUUUUGAGUCCCUAGGGUGGCAAAGAUGUCAGAGAGGGACUAGAGGGUGGGCCUAAGUGAAAAUCCCCAGCAGGCUCUAUCCUGGUCACUGUGGCUCUGACCUCCACCAGGGGAGGGACAAAAGUGUGGUAAGCACACAUGCUGAUGGUGGUUAUGAAUUACUGCCUUUAGUAGGAACCUGUUGCCUGCCAAUGAGUAUCAGCAAAUGGUCUGAGUUAACGCAUCAAAGUUUUUCAGAACAUUGCACCUCUCAUCUACAUAGUGCAGAGUGGAAGAAGCCUGUUAAUUAUGCUUUUGUUUGUAUUUUUGUUUAGUUGGUAGCUUGGAGUAUCUGCCAGCAGAGGCAGCUGCCCCUAGGGAGGGAGGUACCUGGGUGCUACAGGGAUGGCUGCCUGUAAAGAUUUCUGGCACCAAGCCUCUCUGCAGUUUUUGUUUUUUAUUUUUUAAAUAAUUAAAUUAAGACUUAUUUUUGAAUAAGUAAUAUCUACAUAGAGUACAAAAUUUAAAAGGAACAAAAGGGGUGCAGGAAACAUACAUAUCCCUUCUUCUCCCCCUAUUCCCAGCCACCCAUUUUCCUUCCCUCGAGGCAACCACUGUUACCAGUUUCUUCUGCAGUUUUCCAGAGAUAUUCUAAGCAUAAAUAAGUGCAUGUACCUCAACCUGCAAGCAUACUUACCAGUUUUUUUUUUUAAAAAAACACAAAUGUUAACGUACUGUAUCAACAAGAGUCCUGACAGAAAACAGAUGGCACACAUAAAGUGAGUCAUUUCAGUAGAGUUUAAUAAAUGGACUGUUUACCAAGGUGUAGGAAAAGCCCAAAGCCAGCAACAGUUGAGUGAGAGGGCACAGUGACAUAGUGUGAGCAACACUGCCAGUUGAGGAGCAUUCCAGGGAGGUGUGGGGGCAUAAUCACCUGUCCUUCCUCUCCUCCCUCUGACCUUUUGCUGCAGCACCUCAUGGGCUGCACUCAACCUAAGCCAGAGAACAAGAGUCUAUUGAUGCAGUUUAAAGAGGUCACUCUGGGGCACGGAACAGGUGGGGAAGGGCCAAGAGUGAAUAAGGAGGGCAAAUGUGGGCACUCAGCUCAUGCACUCAGCUCCUCAUCCUGUUCUUUGCUGUUUUCCACUUCACAGUCUAUCUGUACAUAGAGCCUCAUUCUUUCUGCUAGCUUAUUCUAUUGCAUUUCCGUUGUGGAAUACCACGCCACAUGCAAGAGACUGAAUUGUGACCCCCACCCCAAUUAUAUGUUGAAGUCCUAACACCCAAUGUUAACUGUAUGUAGAGUGAAGAAGUCAUUAAAGUUAAAUGAGGCCAUAAGGGUGAUGCCUAGAAUAAGGCUUAUUAAGAGGAGACACCAGAGCUCUCUAUCUGUCAUGUGAGGACACAGCCAGAAGAUGGCAGUCUGCAAGCCAGGAACUCAUCAGAAAACCCAGCAGCAGGAACCCUGAUCUUGAACUUCCCAGUCUCCAGAACUGGGAGAAAGAAAUGUCUGCUCUUUAACCCACCCAGUUCAUGGUAUUUUGUUAUGGCAGCCUGAGCUAAGACACCACACACACACACACACACA